rnacentral:tRNA from 1 species
GCCUUCGUGAUGCAAUGGUAGCACGCUUGACGCAUAUUCGAAAGGUCCAGGGUUCGAGUCCCGACGAAGGCA